rnacentral:rRNA from 1 species
UACGAAGGGGGCUAGCGUUGCUCGGAAUUACUGGGCGUAAAGCGCACGUAGGCGGAUCGUUAAGUCGGGGGUGAAAUCCUGGAGCUCAACUCCAGAACUGCCUCCGAUACUGGCAAUCUCGAGUCCGGGAGAGGUGAGCGGAACUGCGAGUGUAGAGGUGAAAUUCGUAGAUAUUCGCAAGAACACCAGUGGCGAAGGCGGCUCACUGGCCCGGUGCUGACGCUGAGGUGCGAAAGCGUGGGGAG